rnacentral:rRNA from 1 species
CUCAAGUGAUGAUUAUUGGAGGUAGAGCACUGUUUGGACGAGGGGCCCCUCUCGGGUUACCGAAUUCAGACAAACUCCGAAUGCCAAUUAAUUUAACUUGGGAGUCAGAACAUGGGUGAUAAGGUCCGUGUUCGAAAGGGAAACAGCCCAGACCACCAGCUAAGGUCCCAAAAUAUAUGUUAAGUGGAAAAGGAUGUGGCGUUGCCCAGACAACUAGGAUGUUGGCUUAGAAGCAGCCAUCAUUUAAAGAGUGCGUAAUAGCUCACUAGUCGAGUGACACUGCGCCGAAAAUGUACCGGGGCUAAACAUAUUACCGAAGCUGUGGAUUGUCCUUUGGACAAUGGUAGGAGAGCGUUCUAAGGGCGUUGAAGCAUGAUCGUAAGGACAUGUGGAGCGCUUAGAAGUGAGAAUGCCGGUGUGAGUAGCGAAAGACGGGUGAGAAUCCCGUCCACCGAUUGACUAAGGUUUCCAGAGGAAGGCUCGUCCGCUCUGGGUUAGUCGGGUCCUAAGCUGAGGCCGACAGGCGUAGGCGAUGGAUAACAGGUUGAUAUUCCUGUACCACCUAUAAUCGUUUUA